GUUCAGUAUUUACAAAUGAAAAUGAAGGAAAGGGACCUCAGUUAGGAAAAAGGACAAAUGAAUUUAUUUCACAUGAGUUUACAGAGGAAGAGGUUCUAUUUCAACUGUCAAAAGUAAAGACAAAUAAGUCAAUGGGACCUGAUGGAAUACACCCAAAGUUAUUAAAAGAGCUUAGUGGUGUACUAGCAAAACCAUUAACAGAUUUAUUUAACCGAUCAUUAACAGGAGUAGUCCCAGUCCCAAGUUAGCGAAUGUUGUGCCCAUUCACAAGAAAGGUAGUAGGGAAGAGUCGGGCAACUAUAGGCCAGUAAGCCUUACUUCAGUAGUGGGGAAAGUAAUGGAAACCAUGUUAAAGGAUAGGAUUGUUGAACAUCUAAAAACACAUGGAUUUCAAGAUCAGAGACAACAUGGGUUUACUUCAGGAAGAUCAUGCCAAGCUAAUCUUAUUGAUUUUUUUUGAUUGGGUAACUAAAAUAAUAUGUCAGGGUGGUGCAGUAGACCAGGGGCCCUCAAGCUCCGGCCCCCCAGAUGUUGCUGAACUACAACUCCCAUGAUCCCAUGAGUUUGAGGACCCCUGCAGUAGACAUUGCUUACCUAUAUUUCAGUAAGGCUUUUGACACUGUUGCACAUAGAAGGCUUAUCAAUAAAUUGCAAUCUUUAAGUUUGGAUUACAAUAUUGUUGAAUGGGUAAGGCAGUGGCUGAGUGACAGGCAACAGAGGGUUGUAGUGAAUGGAGUAUAUUCGAAGCUUAGGCUUGUCACCAGUGGGGUACCUCAGGGAUCUGUACUUGGACCCAUUCUCUUUAAUAUUUUUUAUCAGUGAUAUUGCAGAAGGUCUUGAUGGUAAGGUAUGUCUUUUUGCUGAUGAUACUAAGAUAUGUAACAGGGUUGAUGUUCCAGGAGGGAUAUGGCAAAUGAUUUAGGUAAACUAGAAAAAUGGUCAGAGUUGUGGCAACUGACAUUUAAUGUGGGUAAGUGCAAGAUAAUGCAUCUUGGACGUAAAAACCCAAGGGCAGAGUACAGAAUAUUUGAUAGAGUCCUAACCUCAACAUCUGAGGAAAGGGAUUUAGGGGUGAUUAUUUCUGAUGACUUAAAGGUAGGCAGAUAAUGUAACAGAGCAGCAGGAAAUGCUAACAGAAUGCUUGGUUGUAUAGGGAUAGGUAUUAGCAGUAGAAAGAGGGAAGUGUUCAUGCCAUUGUACAGAACACUGGUGAGACCUCACUUGGAUUAUUGUACGCAGUACUGGAGACCGUAUCUUCAGAAGGAUAUUGAUACUUUAGAGAGGGUUCAGAGAAGGGCUGCUAAACUGGUUCACGGAUUGCAGGAUAAAAUUUACCAGGAAAGGUUAAAGGAUCUUAACAUGUAUAGCUUGGAGGAAAGACGAGACAGGGGGGAUAUGAUAGAAACAUUUAAAUACAAUAAGGCGAAUCAACAUAGUAAAGGAGGAAACCAUAUUUAAAAGAAGAAAAAAUACCACAACAAGAGGACAAUCUUAAAUUAGAGGGGCAAAGGUUUAAAAAUAAUAUCAGGAAGUAUUACUUUACUCAGAGGGUAGUGGAUGCAUGCAAUAGCCUUCCAGCUGAAGUGGUAGAGGCUAAUGCAGUUAUAGAGUUUAAGCAUGCGUGGGAUAGGCAUAAGACUAACUAUAAGAUAAGGCUAGCGACUAAUGAAAGUAUUUAGAAAAUUGGGCAGACUAGAUGGGCUGAAUUGUUCUUAUCUGCCAUCACAUUCUAUGCUUCUAUCUAAGUCCUGAUAAUGAGCAGUUUCCCCCAAAUUGGGAUGCUUGUAGGCCUUAGAGAGCUACAGACUGCUCUCUACACCAUGCAGACACUAACUAGAAACAGAUGCACAAUAUCCCUGUGAUUAUUAACAGGUACAGAAUAUCCUCCAGGCUGAUAAAAGGCCUGUCCACACUUCAGCUUGAACACACUAUAUAAAAACUAGCGCCUUUAAGACUGGGUAACUCUGGAUUUAGUUAUUAGAGCAG